UACGUAGGGGGCUAGCCGUUGUCCGGAAUCAUUGGGCGUAAAGCGCGCGUAGGCGGACAGUUUAGUCAGAGGUGAAAGCCCAGGGCUCAACCUUGGAAUUGCCUUUGAUACUGGCUGUCUUGAGUUCGGGAGAGGUGAGUGGAAUGCCGAGUGUAGAGGUGAAAUUGUAUGAUAUUCGGCGGAACACCAGUGGCGAAGGCGACUCACUGGCCCGAUACUGACGCUGAGGCGCGAAAGCGUGGGGAGCAAACA
rnacentral:rRNA from 1 species